rnacentral:rRNA from 1 species
GACGAACGCUGGCGGCGUGCUUAACACAUGCAAGUCGAACGAAGUGGCGAACGGGUGAGUAACGCGUAAUCAACCUGCCCUUCAGAGGGGGACAACAGUUGGAAACGACUGCUAAUAACGCAUACUGAAGGAGGGGAUUGCGUCUGAUUAGGUAGUUGGAGGGGUAACGGCCCACCAAGGCGAUGAUCAGUAGCCGGUCUGAGAGGAGGAACGGCAACAGUGGGACUGAGACACGGCCCAGACUGCUACGGGAGGCAGCAGUGGGGAAUCUUCCGCAAUGGACGAAAGUCUGACGGAGCAACGCCGCGUGAGUGAUGACGGCCUUCGGGUUGGAAAGCUCUGUUAAUCGGGACGCGGUACCGGAAUAGAAAGCCACGGCUAACGACGUGCCAGCAGCCGCGGUAAUUC